GCGGAUAUGGUGCAAUGGCUAGCACAUUAGCCUUCCAAGCUUAUGAUACGGGUUCGAGUCCCGUUAUCCGCU
rnacentral:tRNA from 1 species